UACGUAGGCAGCGAGCGUUGUUCGGAAUUACUGGGCGUAAAGAGUGUGUAGGCGGUGCUCUAAGUCUGUCGUGAAAUCUCCCGGCUUAACUGGGAGGGUGCGGCGGAAACUGGAGUGCUCGAGGGUGGGAGAGGAAAGCGGAAUUCCUGGUGUAGCGGUGAAAUGCGUAGAUAUCAGGAGGAACACCUGUGGUGUAGACAGCUUUCUGGACCACUUCUGACGCUGAGACACGAAAGCGUGGGUAGCAAACAGG
rnacentral:rRNA from 1 species